UACGGGGGGGGCAAGCGUUGUUCGGAAUUACUGGGCGUAAAGGGCGCGUAGGCGGCCUGCUAAGUCGGAUGUGAAAUCCCUCGGCUCAACCGAGGAACUGCAUCCGAUACUGGCGGGCUUGAAUCCGGGAGAGGGAUGUGGAAUUCCAGGUGUAGCGGUGAAAUGCGUAGAUAUCUGGAAGAACACCGGUGGCGAAGGCGGCCUUCUGGACGGUGACUGACGCUGAGACGCGAAAGCGUGGGGAGCAAACAGG
rnacentral:rRNA from 1 species